GUUUUCUUAUUGCUGUUGCCAUGUAUUCUCUGGUGAUAUAAAAAUGUGGAACUUUAGAAAAGAACCACUGGCUGUCCAUUUUUAAACUGAGCCACUCCUAAAAAUAUUUUAACAAAUAUUCCUUCCUUCCUUCUGGAUUCAGCUCAAAUGAUAUCUCUUAUAGGAAACAUUUUUAAGUCAGAAUCAAUCAUUCACCUCUAGCUACUCAGCAGAAGUGUAAUAGGAGCUAUAUGUUGAACAUUAUUAACCUGGCUUACUCUUUUGCCCUUCUGAGCUGUAUUCCAUUGAAGAGAGCCUUCUGCUUCGAUGUAGAUCAAGAUUUCUUCCAAAAGGAAUGAAAAGCAAAAGACUGAGAAUUCUGGAGGCUGGGAGUCCAAGAUCAAGGUGUCAGCAGAGUUGAUUUCUGGGAAAAUGUUGUGACCAUGUGAGCAUGGCAAAGGGAGCUAUGGCCACACUCAAGGAGAUACUGGGGAGGAAGCUCUUCUUGCAGUAGACACUGUGCUCCUUUUUGAUCAACGUUAAGAAGACUUCAAUCAAAAAGCAUAUGAACAUUAUUCUAGAGUGAGAGUCACUUUGGGGUUAAGCGGAGAACUCUGUAGUAAUGAUCAGUUACUUUCCCCAUUAUAUGUCUUUACACAUGUAGACUCUAACCCUAUUACCAUAUCCGCUGGUAGCAUUGAUGCAGGAAAGAAAUGAUGCGAAAGAUUACCUGAUCAAGAAAGAGUAAUGAGGGGCCGGCCCGGUGGUGCAGUGGUAAAGUUCCCACGUUCUGCUUUGGCGGCCUGGGGUUCACCUGUUUGGAUCCCCAGUGUGGAUCCCCGGCAUGGAAGCGGACAUGGCACCACUCAUCGGGCAACGCUGUGGUAGGUGUCCCACGUAUAAAGUAGAGGAAGAUGGGC
rnacentral:lncRNA from 1 species